rnacentral:lncRNA from 1 species
GGCCUGUUGGGUAACCUUGGGACAGGAAAUCAUCAGGACAUCCAGAAGAGACUGCCCGUCGCCUCCUUCCACCGCCGAGCAGCAGGCCGCAGCUGCCGCAGCACCUGCACGCGCACGCGCUCAGGUUUGUGAGCCACCGCGCCCAGAUUCCCAAGAUUGGGACUGCUGGGAAGCAGAUUUGGUUCAACUGACAGAGCACCCACUUACCGUAUGGGAGGUCCAGGGUUCAAACCCAGGGCCUCCUGACCCGUGUCGUGAGCUGGCCCACGUGCAGUGCUGCCACACACAAGGAGUGCACCCCUCAAGAAGAGCCACCCCGAGUGAAAAAAGUGCAGCCUGCCCAGGAGUGGCACUGCACACAUGGAGAGCUGAUGCAGCAAGAUGACACAACAAAAAGAGACACAGAUUCCUGAUACCACUGACAAGAAUGAAAGUGGACACAGAGAGCAGAGAACAAGGUGGGGGGGAGGGGAAGGGGAGAGAAAUAAAUAAAAAAUAGAUCUUAAAAAAAAAAAGAUGUUUUUAAGGAAAAAAAAGAGAUUGGGACUGCUGAGGUUUUAAUAAGUAUUCCUCACCCCUGCCAGUAAAAGUUAUCUCUUUUUAAUUAUUUGUUAGUCUGAUGGGUAUAAAGUGACAUCAC